CAGCUCUUAGCCAUUCACCUUCCUGACAACAUGAAGUCCAGAAACUUCUUGAUCCUGGUGGUAGUGCUUCUUGUCCUUGGGACGCUGGUGGCAAAGGGAGCUGUCGUAAGAGGUCAAGGCACUACGAAAGGCAAUGUUCUGAUCAAAGGACAAGAUCCAGUCGAAGGUCAAGAUCCAGUCGAAAGUCAAGAUCCAGUCGAAGGUCAAGAAGAUCCAGUCGAAGGUCAAGAUCUAGUCGAAGGUCAAGAUCCAGUCGAAGGUCAAGAAGAUCCAGUCGGAUUCCGACAGUCCACUAAGCCUGGCUCCUGCCCCUGGGUUCCUUUCCAGUGCGGCUUAAAACAUCCCAUUAACAAAUGUGUGACAGAUGCUGAAUGCUGGGGGCUCAAGAAGUGCUGUGUGGGCUAUUGCGGGAAUGUCUGUAAGAAUCCCCGGUGAGGUGGAGUCUGUUCUUGCUGCACCUGUGAAGUCCCCAGGGAUGCAGAUCCUGGUGCCUGUAGCACUACCCUCUCCCGCACUGCCCAUUCUUCCUUUCAUCCGGGUGCCCAAACCUGGGAUGCCUCUCUCAUGGACUUUCCAAUAAAAGACCACUUUCUACUCCA